rnacentral:tRNA from 1 species
UGCCCCAUGGCUGAGUUGGUUACAGCGUCCGACUGUUACGCAAUUAGCAAUCGGAAGGUCGUGAGUUCGAGCCUCACUGGGGCAG